rnacentral:lncRNA from 1 species
UCGCGCCGGCGCCGGCUCCCCAGCCCAAGCCGGGCAGGGCCGGGCUUUAUUAAUAUGCUAAUUGUCCUGCUAGUGGGAGGGGAGAGCCGUGUCAAAGUGACCCGGGAGAGCGCGCAGCAAGCGACGACGUGCGUGCGCCGCGCGGCGGGCGGGCGGCGAGGGGCUGGGAGCGCUCGGGGAACGGCAUGCAUGUGACGCAGCUUUUAAAAAAGGAGACGGAGGCAGAGACCCCAGAGAGGGAGGGCGAAGGGGAGGGCUUGGAGGCGCAGCCGCGCGCUCGGUGUCCGUCCUCCGGGUGCCGCCGGAUGGGGAGUCUGGCUGAGCCGGAGCGGGAGCCGCGGCUGGGGGAGGCGGAGCCGGGGUGGGCAGUGUGGUGUAUCUCUCUCCACCCCGGGCCGCGCUCCGGGAGGGAAAAGGGACUGCAGACCCCCUGUCCGUGCUCCCUGCUGAGACGCCAGCCUUCUUCUGGAGGCCCCUUGUUUCGCGUCCCUACCCUAGGCUGGAUGGGUUUUUGCUGAGGGAGCAUGAAAUGAUGGAACGGUGCAGAGUCCAGGGAUUGAAAAGAAGGCCUGCCUAGGAAUGGAGACCCUCCCCACCAUGUGCUUAGGAUGGGGGAUAGGGGAGCUUGUACACUGUGGAGUCUCCCACCCCCAGGUUUCCCCAUCUCCACCCCCACCAGGAGCAGAGAGGACCUGACUGAAGCCAUCCACACUCACACAAGUAUUUCCUUGGCAGCAUCCCCUGCCUGAGUGCACCCCCUCCCUGCAUUCUCCCAGACAAAGGUCAGCACUAGAGGGAGUAGAGAGAACAUAAGGCAACAGAACACUGGCCCGAAAUUGUGGAUACCUAGGUUUGAACGCAAGAUUCGCUCCUCAAUACCUGAGUGAUUUGAGACAACUGACCACCCCACCUGGGACACUAGCUUUAUCCUCUGUAACCUAUGGCUUGGCCUUUUACACUUGCCGACUCAUUUACCUUUCAUGAGGACCUUUGGAAGAAGGUGCUAUUACCUCCAUUGAACAAGUAGGAAAACUGAAGUUCAGAGAUGAUAAUAAAUUUGAACUUGCCUGUAAAACACUGUUCUCCCUCUUCUUCACCUACUAGUUAAUGCUUCCUUAACACCUUAGUUCUAGCUUCACCUUCUCUGGGAAGAUUACCCUUCCCACUCCCACUGACACUAUAGCCCAGUUACCGGUAAGGAAAUACCAUCUCAGUACUGUUGAAUGGGUGGUUAAAAUAAGUGAUUGGGGCUCCUACAGGAACUCCAUUUAGGCAAGUUAGUUAACUUUGCCAAGGUAACAGAGCUAACAAGCACUUGACCCAUUGCUCCACUCCUUGCCUUACUUCUAGUGUGGAUCA